CAUUUUGUUAUGGUAUUCAAAUUUACCAUUCGUUUUAUAACAUGAGAUUUUAAGAGAAUUCAGUUACGAGAUUUUGCAAGUUGAGAAAUCCAGCACAAGAAAACGAAUUAUUUAUGGCUUAGAUAGUGCCAGCAGCCGCGGUCAUACUAUCAUAAAUAGUAAAUAAAAUUAGUAAAGGUCAACUAUUAACAAUAUAUAAUUAUGGUGAAAUAUAUUAUAUAAUAUAUACUAAUGUUAGUGUAGUGUUCAUAAAUACUUAUAUCAAACAAGGAUUAGAUACCCUUCUAUGAGGUAAGUAAGAGUUCUUACUGGGCAUUAAAGAAACUAUACCUAAACCCAAAUAACAUGGCGGUAAUUUUAAAACUUAGGGGAACUUACCUAAUAAAUGAUAACCACCAAGUUUAACUACUUUAGGUAAAAUUUUGUAUGCCGUCGUCUAGAUUAAAUAUAAUAAUUAAUCUAUAGUAUCCUUACUAAAUGACAGAUCAUGGUGCAGACAAUCCUAAAGUUAAGGCGAGUUACAAUAUUGUAUUUAUUCUAUUUUAGUUGUUCUAAUAAUUAAGAUAGUUGGACUUAAUAGUAAAGGUUAUAUUAUAAUUAUUACUUGAAUAUAUAUAAAAUUGUGC
rnacentral:rRNA from 1 species